rnacentral:rRNA from 1 species
GACGAACGCUGGCGGCGUGCUUAACACAUGCAAGUCGAACGGAAAGGCCCUGCUUUUGUGGGGUGCUCGAGUGGCGAACGGGUGAGUAACACGUGAGUAACCUGCCCUUGACUUUGGGAUAACUUCAGGAAACUGGGGCUAAUACCGGAUAGGAGCUCCUGCUGCAUGGUGGGGGUUGGAAAGUUUCGGCGGUUGGGGAUGGUCUCGCGGCUUAUCAGCUUGUUGGUGGGGUAGUGGCUUACCAAGGUUUUGACGGGUAGCCGGCCUGGGAGGGUGACCGGCCACAUUGGGACUGAGAGACGGCCCAGACUCCUACGGUAGGCAGCAGUGGGGAAUAUUGCACAAUGGGCGGAAGCCUGAUGCAGCAGCGCCGCGUGCGGGAUGACGGCCUUCGGGUUGUAAACCGCUUUCGCCUGUGACGAAGCGUGAGUGACGGUAAUGGGUAAAGAAGCACCGGCUAACUACGUG